rnacentral:piRNA from 1 species
GAACUCAUGACAGUAGCGGACACC